GAUUGCAUGGCCUAAAGGACAAGGUGUGUGACUUUGGAUCAAAAGAUUGAGGGUUUGAGUCUAUUUGCAGUUG
rfam:Pelodiscus sinensis unplaced genomic scaffold scaffold679, whole genome shotgun sequence.